AGUGAACGCUGGCGGUAGGCCUAACACAUGCAAGUCGAACGGCAGCACAGUAAGAGCUUGCUCUUACGGGUGGCGAGUGGCGGACGGGUGAGGAAUACAUCGGAAUCUACUUUUUCGUGGGGGAUAACGUAGGGAAACUUACGCUAAUACCGCAUACGACCUACGGGUGAAAGCAGGGGAUCUUCGGACCUUGCGCGAUUGAAUGAGCCGAUGUCGGAUUAGCUAGUUGGCGGGGUAAAGGCCCACCAAGGCGACGAUCCGUAGCUGGUCUGAGAGGAUGAUCAGCCACACUGGAACUGAGACACGGUCCAGACUCCUACGGGAGGCAGCAGUCGGAAAUAUUGGACAAUGGGCGCAAGCCUGAUCCAGCCAUACCGCGUGGGUGAAGAAGGCCUUCGGGUUGUAAAGCCCUUUUGUUGGGAAAGAAAAGCAGCAGGUUAAUACCCCGCUGUUCUGACGGUACCCAAAGAAUAAGCACCGGCUAACUUCGUG
rnacentral:rRNA from 1 species